rfam:Schistosoma haematobium scaffold1930_1, whole genome shotgun sequence.
AUUCACCUGACGAGUCCCAAAUAGGACGAAACGCGCAUCAAACUGGAC